AGAGUUUGAUCCUGGCUCAGAUUGAACGCUGGCGGCAGGCCUAACACAUGCAAGUCGAACGGUAACAUUUCUAGCUUGCUAGAAGAUGACGAGUGGCGGACGGGUGAGUAAUGCUUGGGAACUUGCCUUUGCGAGGGGGAUAACAGUUGGAAACGACUGCUAAUACCGCAUAACGUCUACGGACCAAACGGGGCUUAGGCUCCGGCGCAAAGAGAGGCCCAAGUGAGAUUAGCUAGUUGGUAAGGUAAUGGCUUACCAAGGCAACGAUCUCUAGCUGUUCUGAGAGGAAGAUCAGCCACACUGGAACUGAGACACGGUCCAGACUCCUACGGGAGGCAGCAGUGGGGAAUAUUGCACAAUGGGGGAAACCCCGAUGCAGCCAUGCCGCGUGUGUGAAGAAGGCCUUCGGGUUGUAAAGCACUUUCAGUUGUGAGGAAAAGUUAGUAGUUAAUACCUGCUAGCCGUGACGUUAACAACAGAAGAAGCACCGGCUAACUCCGUGCCAGCAGCCGCGGUAAUACGGAGGGUGCGAGCGUUAAUCGGAAUUACUGGGCGUAAGGCGCACGCAGGCGGUUUGUUAAGCUAGAUGUGAAAGCCCCGGGCUCAACCUGGGAUAGUCAUUUAGAACUGGCAGACUAGAGUCUUGGAGAGGGGAGUGGAAUUCCAGGUGUAGCGGUGAAAUGCGUAGAUAUCUGGAGGAACAUCAGUGGCGAAGGCGACUCCCUGGCCAAAGACUGACGCUCAUGUGC
rnacentral:rRNA from 1 species